AAUGCCGCGUGUGUGAAGAAGGCCUUCGGGUUGUAAAGCACUUUAAGCAGGGAAGAAAAGCACAACCUAAUACGUUGAGCCUUGACGGUACUUGCAGAAUAAGCACCGGCUAACUCUGUGCCAGCCCCUUCGGUGACUGAGCGGGCUGGCAAGGCGCAUA
rnacentral:rRNA from 1 species